GGGGGGGCAAGCGUUGUUCGGAAUUACUGGGCGUAAAGGGCGCGCAGGCGGGCGGGACAGUCUCUCGUGAAAGCCCACGGCUCAACCGUGGAAUUGCGGGAGAUACUUCUCGUCUUGAGUCCGGGAGAGGAGUGUGGAAUUCCCAGUGUAGCGGUGAAAUGCGUAGAUAUUGGGAGGAACACGGGUGGCGAAGGCGGCACUCUGGACCGGUACUGACGCUGAGGCGCGAAAGCUAGGGGAGCAAACGGGAUUAGAUACCCCGGGUAGUCCUAGCUGUAAACGAUGAGCACUUGGUGUAGCGGGUAUCGACCCCCUGCUGUGCCGAAGCUAACGCAUUAAGUGCUCCGCCUGGGGAUACGGUCGCAAGGCUG
rnacentral:rRNA from 1 species